CAGGAUGCACGCUGGCGGCGUGCUUAACACAUGCAAGUCGAACGAUGAAGCCCAGCUUGCUGGGUGGAUUAGUGGCGAACGGGUGAGUAACACGUGAGUAACCUGCCCUUAACUCUGGGAUAAGCCUGGGAAACUAGGUCUAAUACCGGAUAGGAGCGCCUACCGCAUGGUGGGUGUUGGAAAGAUUUAUCGGUUUUGGAUGGACUCGCGGCCUAUCAGCUUGUUGGUGAGGUAAUGGCUCACCAAGGCGACGACGGGUAGCCGGCCUGAGAGGGUGACCGGCCACACUGGGACUGAGACACGGCCCAGACUCCUACGGGAGGCAGCAGUGGGGAAUAUUGCACAAUGGGCGAAAGCCUGAUGCAGCGACGCCGCGUGAGGGAUGACGGCCUUCGGGUUGUAAACCUCUUUCAGUAGGGAAGAAGCGAAAGUGACGGUACCUGCAGAAGAAGCACCGGCUAACUACGUGCCAGCAGCCGCGGUAAUACGUAGGGUGCGAGCGUUAUCCGGAAUUAUUGGGCGUAAAGAGCUCGUAGGCGGUUUGUCGCGUCUGUCGUGAAAGUCCGGGGCUUAACCCCGGAUCUGCGGUGGGUACGGGCAGACUAGAGUGCAGUAGGGGAGACUGGAAUUCCUGGUGUAGCGGUGGAAUGCGCAGAUAUCAGGAGGAACACCGAUGGCGAAGGCAGGUCUCUGGGCUGUAACUGACGCUGAGGAGCGAAAGCAUGGGGAGCGAACAGGAUUAGAUACCCUGGUAGUCCAUGCCGUAAACGUUGGGCACUAGGUGUGGGGACCAUUCCACGGUUUCCGCGCCGCAGCUAACGCAUUAAGUGCCCCGCCUGGGGAGUACGGCCGCAAGGCUAAAACUCAAAGGAAUUGACGGGGGCCCGCACAAGCGGCGGAGCAUGCGGAUUAAUUCGAUGCAACGCGAAGAACCUUACCAAGGCUUGACAUGUUCUCGAUCGCCGUAGAGAUACGAUUUCCCCUUUGGGGCGGGUUCACAGGUGGUGCAUGGUUGUCGUCAGCUCGUGUCGUGAGAUGUUGGGUUAAGUCGGGCAACGAGCGCAACCCACGUUCCAUGUUGCAAGCACGCAACGCUGGGUACUCAUGGGAGACUGCAGGGCUCAACGCGGAGCAGGGCGAGGACGACGUCAAACCAGCAUGCAACUCAUGUCGAGCGCUUCAGGCAUGCCACAAUGAGCGGUACACGGCCUCGCGAAACUGCCAGCUGGAGCUAAUCCGACGCCGCCGGACUCAGUUCGGUAUGGGGUCUGCAACU
rnacentral:rRNA from 1 species